ACGUGAUGGAGCCCUGCUUUCCUGGAGGUGGCUAAACACCUGCCUGCCUGGAAGUAGUCAGACUUCAGAAAACCCAGAGAGAGACCUUGUGCUAUCAUCACUGGAAGGAUGGACAAGUAAAAGCAAACUAGCUUGAGUUCAUCUUUGACUUUGACUAUGACAGCGUGGUGAGAAAGAAGAAGAGUGGAAAGAAAGGCAAGGAAGAGUUAUCAAAAAUACUUCUGAUGGUAUCUUUACAUUAUUAUCCUCUGAGUUUACUCUAAGUGUACACUGCUGAAGAGAAUAACACUUGAAUGCAAAUUUCUCUCCCCUCAAAACAGGAAUUUUGUAACUUGCAAGUGUGGAGGUAUGUCUCUACACAUAUGUCUCUAAUGUCAUGGUACUAGCAAGCACAUCAAAUCAGUGAUGUACCAUGUCCAGGGGGUUAAUGCCCAGAAUUGCUUGGGGGCAGCUCUGGGAGCUACUGUCCAUGGGGAGUUAAGGUAUUUAGACUAAAUACUUCAAAAGGAAAGUAGCUUGCAAAAAGAGUAGAUAGACAAAGAUGGUUGUGGCAUCUAGAAGCAACAUUUAUGGGAUGGGAGGAAGACUGAAGUGUGUUCUUGUUUAUAUCAAAUGUUUACUUCUUGAUUGUCUAUGCUUACAGGGAACCAUUUUUGGGUUGCAAACUGGUAUAUCUUCUUAGCUUUAAAGUCAUUAUAUGUGAGAAUUUUUUCACAUCCAGUCAUUAUCCCUAUACAAUAUGUGGAUUAUUCUUGAAAGGAGUUUUACAUUAAAAGCUUUCUUGUCUUUACAAGUGAUAGCUUUUUGGGGCAGGCAGAAAGGGACCUGAACAGUAUGUGUGAAAACCAUAGUACCUUGAGCGGUGCUUUGUGGAGAUAAGAAAUUUAUUUUUUAUUUCUGUUUGGAGAAAACUAAUUCAAAAUGGUUUAAAAUAUUUACAAAGAGCAUUGAAUCACUUGGCUUAGCUUUAAUGAUGGUAGAAAGACACUUCACUGCCUUCUAGGUAUGUAGCAAAUGGGAUGUUAUUUCUUAGCAGGAGAUGUAACACUACUUCUUACAUGCUUAAGAAUUCAAAUUUUUGUUUUCAAUGGCAGCAUUGUUCUUAAAGCGGUGAGUUUAGAUGCCAGUGAUUCCUUCCUUCAAGUUGCUGUCAUGAGCUUUCUAACCUAUUUCUGUAUGCCCUCAAUGUAUGAGCUACCUACAAAUAUUUUUUAAGACUAAA